AGGAAAAAAAAAUAUAGGGGAUAGAUUGGAAAUCUGGAUGGUGAAAUCUGCUCUCCUCAUUACCCGGCUUAGAUAUUCAGUGACUGUAGCCUCAACUGCAUGCCUGCUCUGCACUGAGCUUGCAUUCUGAUUCUGGUCCCACAGGUGCAAGCCAGAGAUUACUCCAGGCUUGCAAGAGGCAUGCUGGUUUUAUAAAGUUUUCUCCACCUACUCCCGUACAUGAGCUGGGACCAUGGAAAAACUUCUCAGCCACUCAAGUAUCCAGAGAGGGCGAGGUAUCUUCUGUCUCUUCGUGAAGGUUCCAGACAGCCCUGUUUUGGGGAUGGUAAGUCGCCUUCCUAGGCAUCUGAAUGAAAUCAUCUUGAAUGAUCCUUUCCAGUGCAUGGACUUCAUGGUUUCCUGCUCUUUUGAGAAGUAGAGGAAACCAAUGUCUAGGUCAUCUGAUGAGUGAAUAAUGAAAGAGUGAAUGAAUGAAUGAAUGAAUGCAUGAAUUCUCUCUUUGCCUCCCUGAUGAGUUUGGCAAUGUCUCUGCUCAAACCGUGUGGCAUCAGAAUCAGCUUAGAGCUUGUUAGAAAGGUCGAAUCUGAAGCCCCAUCCCAGACCCUGAAUCAGUAUCUAUGUCUUAGUAAUUCUCCCUGAAUCAUUCACAGGCACAUGAAAUUUUGAGAAGCAUGCUGUAGAAACUGUGUUGACAUUGCCUGCAGUCAUUUGAUUAAUGCCCUCAUUUGAUAGCUUAUCUACAUCCAGGAGAAAGGCCAGUACGAUGUCCAUUCAAUAGAGUUUCUCCAUCUCUUAUGGAGGGGUUGUAUCUAGGGGGUAUUCAGCAGCUACUGGAUGGACGGAUGGAUGGAGAAAACAGGCUUCACUGCCUGCAGGGAGGCUAUGUGUCCUAGUGGAAGAACGCUGGGGUCAUAAGAAAAGGGAAAGGUCAGUGAGAAGUUUGGUCAGCAUUUCUUGACCAUCUGAUCUGUAUGAGGUGGUUUACCUAUAUCAUACCAUUGCCUGCCCGUAAAACAUCCCCCAGCAGGUAUCGAUAGUGUCAUUUUGCACCUGAGCAAGUGGUGGAGCUACCAUUUGAACCUGGAACAGUGCUUUUUCUUGCCUGUUGCACUGCCACUCGAUAUUUGUGUGAACUUGGGUGUCCAUGGCAGACGCCUUGGUGACCUUCUCAUCUCCUCUUGGCCCUUCACUGUGCCCAACCACAGCUUCUGUUUGCAAGGAGCCUGCAACUUGUUUGGUACACAAAGCAAGUCAGGAGUUCUGGGGAAAAACCCCAUCAGGAGCAGCCCUUGACCAACAGGAACUGGAGUUGGCACAUCCCCUUGGAUGGGGUAACUCUGGGGCAUGUUCUUCCAUCUCCUGCAGUCUCCCUCAGGGUGCACUCCCUGGUGCCCACAGAAGAGACCUACUCAAAACACACCUGUACUGGUGUCCUUUCCUUCCCUGUCUCAUUUCCCUCUGGUACUUCCUGGGAUCCCUGGGCAAAUACGUUGUUUGCAUGUAAAUCCCUUAGCUUAGGGUCUCCUUCUCAGAACCCAAAUCUAAAAUAGCAAGUCUUUAUCUUAGGGUCUCCUUCUCAAAUCUAAGACAGUGUCUGCUAAAUACAACCCACAGCAGCCAAGAUGUCCUGAUUAUGUGGCCUUGCAGAAAGCACCCAGAGGGCAUGACCUCAUUGAAUCUUCAUAACCUCCCUGGGAAGUAGGUUCUGCUCCUACCUGCAGAUGAGGAAAUGGAGGCUCAGAGAGGGAAGUGAUGCACUGAAGGUCUCCCCACCCCCCAAAAAAGUAGAGGGACCUGAGAUGUUCAUUGAGUGAGUUUCUUCUUUUCCCCUCCCCUCCGCCCCCUCCUUCAGUCUGGGUCCCUCUAUUGACAGUCCACAUCGGAUGCUUGGGUAUUGGGGAGUAGCCAAGGACUGUGACAGGUAAGUAUGGAAGUAGGAAGAGGGAUUAUAUGUGGUCCACAGUCAUCAGUGUUGAGCAUCUGGCAGCACCCGGUGAAUUUAUUUACCAUCUAAAUAAAUUCUAGAUGGUAGAAUGGCAAACAGCUUUUGUCUUCCAUGCUAGCUCUCACUGACUAAUAGUGGCUCCCUGGAGCCCUGUGUUGAGAGCAGUUCUGAGGCUGCUUCCCACCUCAGAGUGCAAGAGAGUCAGGAUUGAUUAGUGAUGUCUGCCUAGGGCACAGGCGAGGAGAGUAUUGGUACCCAGGCCAUGUGUGUCAGAGGAGUUCUUUCCAUUAGGACUGAAGCAACAUUUACAAUUUCAAGUAGGCUUUCACGUUUGAAAAAGAGAUGAUUUUUCCUUGAGAGUUUAUCUUGCAUUUGAACAUAUGUGGCUAAACCUAGGCCAUAUGCGGAAUUACAGCUUGAUUAUAACUCCCUAGGGCAAAGAAAAGAAAAAUCAGCAUACAAUUUACUGAGUAGAGCACACAUAGAAGAGGGACCUGGGAGUUGCUGUGGUGGUACAAUGGGAUCGGUGGCAUUUCGGCAGUGCCAGGACCCUGCCUGGCAUAGUGGGUUAAAGGAUCUGGGAUUGCUGCACCUGUGGCAUAGGUCACAACUGCGGCUCGGAUCUAGUCUCUGGCUUGGGAACUCCAAAUGCUGCAAAGGGUGGCUGAAAAAGAGAGAGAGAGAGAAAAAAAAAGAAGAGGGAUCUGAGAUGUGCGUUGAGCGAGUUGUUUCUUCUUCUCUUCCCCUCCCCCUCCCUCAUUCCUCUUCCUCCCCCUCCUCCUUCUUUCCUCCUCCCUCCUCCCCCUUGCUUCUCCCCCUCCCCCUCCUGAUCACAGAGGCCUCUAGGCUGGCUGGGCUUUGAUGAGUUUUUUCAAGUCUGUGAUUUCCACCUCCAGGAACUCUGGCUUAUUUGUCUUAUCUAAGCAGUAAGUGACAAGUUCUUUUUUUUUUUUCUAAUUUAAUUUAAUUAAAAACUUUUUAAUUGAAGUGUAGUUGAUUUACAAGGUUGUGUUCAUUUCUGCUGUACAGCAAACGAUUCACUUCUACAUAUCCACACAUCCGUUCCCAUAUAGGUAACCACAGAAUACGGGGUAGAGUUCCCUGUGCUCUACAGCAGGUUCCUGUUGGCCAUCCCUUCCAUAUACUGUGUGUGCACAUGCCGUCCCAAGCUCCCAGUCCUUCCCCCUUCCCUCCCAGCAGUGACACGUUCUUGUUUUGUUUUGUUUUUUCUUUUUAGGGCUGCACCCACGGCACAUGGAAGUUCCUAGGCUAGGGGUCCAAUGGGAGCUACAGCUGCCAGCCUACACCACAGCUACAGCAACAUCAGAUCCGAGCCACAUCUGCAACCUACACCAUAGCUCAUGGCAAUGCUGGAUCCUUAACCCACUGAGCGAGGCCAGGGAUCGAACCCACAAUCUCAUGGUUCCUAGUCAGAUUCAUUUCUGCGCCAUGGCAGGGACUCCUGACACGUUCUGAUUGUGGGAGUUUUGUCCCCUUAACUUAUCGCAGCUGGGAGAGGGAGGCAGGGAGCCUUCCCUCCCCCGCCCCUCCCCAGGUCAUGGCGGGCGGGUGCAUCUGCCUGUGAGGAAUGCUGAACACAAACUAUAAAUAAUGCAGCCACAUCUGCCCUUGAGUUUGGAGCUCCUGUAAUUUGCUGCAUCACGUAACUUCUUGACGCUCCAUGCAGACCUGUGUGGUGGGGGAUGUAGACUCAGAUUUUUAGUUUAACCCUUAAUCGGCACCCUUGCUUUCAAAACGCCUCUGGGAAUCACCUUUUAUCUCAUAAGACGUUUUGAAAUUCUCAGAUUUUCAGAGGAAAUUCAAACAUUUAGGAAUGAACUUGUCAUGAAUUCACAUAGGGGAAAAUUCUGUUUGUAUUUAAUUAACAAUUGUCAGGUUCAUAGACAAAAGACUUGUGGUUGCAAAGGGGUAGGGGAGUGGAUGGAUGGGAGUUUGGGGUUAGUAGAGGCAAACUAUUCCAUUUAGAACAGAUAAGCAAUGAGGUCCUACUUUAUAGCACAGGGAACUCUAUCCAGUCUCUUGGGAGAGACCGUGAUGGAAGAUAAUCUAAGAAAGGGAAUGUAUAUAUGUGUAUGACUGGGUCACUUUGCUGUACAGCAGAAAUUGGCACAGCAUUGUAAAUCAGCUAUGCUUUCAUUAAAAUAAAUAAGGAAAUAAAAUCAUCACACCUCCAAAAAAAAAAAAAAAA
rnacentral:lncRNA from 1 species